GAGCCAAUCAACCAAGUAGCCGCAAGAAAAUAAAACAGAACUGGAAAUAUGCUUCUUUGGACUUUCCUCUUGUUCCUUAUUCAUCUUUCAGGCUGCCAUGCAGAGGUGAAGUUGGUGGAGACUGGAGGGGGUGUGGUAAUCCCUGAAGGUUCCAUCCGCCUAACCUGUAAAGCAUCUGGAUUCACCUUUAGUAACUAUACAAUGCACUGGAUCCGACAGUCUCCAGGAAAAGGACUGGAGUGGGUGGCAGAAGUUAGCAAACCAGAAGGGACUAAACAGUGGUAUAACUCCAAAGUGGAAGGAAGAUUCACCAUCUCCAGAGACAAUUCCCAGACUUCAGCUUAUCUCCAAAUGAACAAUUUGAAGCCUGAAGACUCUGGCUUGUAUUACUGCGCAAGGAGACACAGUGAUUCCAUCUGCUUUCCUCCUUGUACAAUUACUCCAGGGGUCCCUUGA